GGAUCCCUAAAGCUCUAAUAUUUUUUUUCUAUUUUUUUCCUAACUUUUCACUAAAUUUUUUUGCUCCCUAGACUUAUUCCCAGAACUCCCUAUUUAUAGGUGAAUUUUUUAUAUUUUUUUGGUAAGAAAAGGAGUCCUAAAAUCCUUAGAAAUCAUUUUAAUCUCUUAGAAAUAUUUUUGACCGUCGGAUCAAGCUUGAACCGCCCAGAUCUAUCCAAAAAAUCAAUGUUUUAAUCUGAAUCAAAGUUGGAUCGAAUGUCAGCCGUUCGAUCUAGG
rnacentral:lncRNA from 1 species